GCUCCAUAACCGGGCUGUAAUUGACCGGUGGCAACAAACCACCACGGCUCUCCUUCUAUUCUCGGCAGCGCUUGUCCAAAGACAACCUGUAGAGCCGACUGAAGAAUAAUAAUAAUAAAAAAGCUAAAGCUGUUACUGCAAGUACAUUUCUGCAGAAAUCGACGCAUCAAGUCUGACGCGUUCAUGCUGCCCUCCCUCUCAAUGCAAAGUCAAGGUGCAUGUCGUGGCUGGCUGCGUCUCUCUUUUGUCUGAUAUGGCUGUUUGUCCUCCAGAGGUGCAGGGCCGCAGUCUGCAGUCGCUGGGGUGAAGACAGAUAUUUCCCGUGAUAAAAAAGGGGAAGGUGAAUCUGCAGUAACUGCCAUAAUACAGAGCAGGAGAGUGUAGAGGAUAAUUCAGUCACACGGCCCUCGAAAUGACAGGUUGAUGAGUGAGUGGAAGAGGGGAAUUGCAGUUUGAUGACACCCUCUUAAGCAAAGGAGGAGAUUAGAGCAGAAAAUGUGGAAAUCAGGACUGCGUUUCAUUGGCUGGAGAGGAGAAUG
rnacentral:lncRNA from 1 species